CACGUAGUUAGCCGUGGCUUCCUUCUCAGGUACCGUCAUUAUCGUCCCUGAAGACAGAGCUUUACAACCCGAAGGCCGUCAUCACUCACGCGGCGUUGCUGCAUCAGGGUUUCCCCCAUUGUGCAAUAUUCCCCACUGCUGCCUCCCGUAGGAGUCUGGGCCGUGUCUCAGUCCCAAUGUGGCCGAUCACCCUCUCAGGUCGGCUACGCAUCGUCGCCUUGGUGAGCCGUUACCUCACCAACUAGCUAAUGCGCCGCGGGCCCAUCUCAUAGCGGAUUGCUCCUUUAAUUGCUACUUCAUGCGAAGCUACAAUCUUAUGCGGUAUUAAUCUCCCUUUCGGAAGGCUAUUCCCCUCUAUGAGGCAGGUUGCCCACGUGUUACUCACCCGUCCGCCGCUAGCUUUGUUCCGAAGAACUCCACUCGCUCGACUUGCAUGUGUUAGGCACGCCGCCAGCGUCGUCCUGAGCCAGGAGUCAAACUCU
rnacentral:rRNA from 1 species